UAACAGUCCUCAUAAACUAGAAAGAAUGGAUCAAACAGUUAGCAAUUGUAGAUUAUGUGAGUCUUUAACCCGUGGGUUGGAUGAUAUGCUACAAAAUUCAGAGAAUAUUAAAGAUAUCACAGAAACUUUGCAUGUUCUAUGUUUUCAAAAUACUAUCAG